GUCUACGGCCAUACCACCCUGAAUGUGCCCGAUCUCGUCUGAUCUUGGAAGCUAAGCAGGGUCGGGCCUGGUUAGUACUUGGAUGGGAAAAGUUCUAAGAUAAGUUCAAGGAGCACGCACCUGGUCUCCCUUCAUU
rnacentral:rRNA from 1 species